CAAUUUAAGGGGACAACCAUGCAGUCGAGCGGUAACAGAGAGGUGCUUGCACCUUUGCUGACGAGCGGCGGACGGGUGAGUAAUGCUUGGGAACAUGCCUUGAGGUGGGGGACAACAGUUGGAAACGACUGCUAAUACCGCAUAAUGUCUACGGACCAAAGGGGGCUUCGGCUCUCGCCUUUAGAUUGGCCCAAGUGGGAUUAGCUAGUUGGUGAGGUAAUGGCUCACCAAGGCGACGAUCCCUAGCUGGUUUGAGAGGAUGAUCAGCCACACUGGGACUGAGACACGGCCCAGACUCCUACGGGAGGCAGCAGUGGGGAAUAUUGCACAAUGGGCGCAAGCCUGAUGCAGCCAUGCCGCGUGUGUGAAGAAGGCCUUCGGGUUGUAAAGCACUUUCAGUCAGGAGGAAAGGUUAGUAGUUAAUACCUGCUAGCUGUGACGUUACUGACAGAAGAAGCACCGGCUAACUCCGUGCCAGCAGCCGCGGUAAUACGGAGGGUGCGAGCGUUAAUCGGAAUUACUGGGCGUAAAGCGUACGCAGGCGGUUUGUUAAGCGAGAUGUGAAAGCCCUGGGCUCAACCUGGGAACUGCAUUUCGAACUGGCAAACUAGAGUGUGAUAGAGGGUGGUAGAAUUUCAGGUGUAGCGGUGAAAUGCGUAGAGAUCUGAAGGAAUACCGAUGGCGAAGGCAGCCACCUGGGUCAACACUGACGCUCAUGUACGAAAGCGUGGGGAGCAAACGGGAUUAGAUACCCCGGUAGUCCACGCCGUAAACGAUGUCUACUAGAAGCUCGGGUCCUCGGACUUGUUUUUCAAAGCUAACGCAUUAAGUAGACCGCCUGGGGGAGUACGGCCGCAAGGUUAAAAACUCAAAUGAAUUUGACGGGGG
rnacentral:rRNA from 1 species